rnacentral:rRNA from 1 species
GUGGGGAAUAUUCCGCAAUGGACGAAAGUCUGACGGAGCAACGCCGCGUGAGUGAUGAAGGUUUUCGGACUGUAAAGCUCUGUUGUUUAGGACGAAAGUGCCUGUUGCAAAUAGUUACAGGUAUUGACGGUACUGAACGAGGAAGCCACGGCUAACUACGUGCCAGCAGCCGCGGUAAUACGUAGGUGGCAAGCGUUGUCCGGAAUUAUUGGGCGUAAAGAGCAUGUAGGCGGGAGUCUAAGUCUGUUGUGAAAAUGCGGGGCUCAACCCCGUAUUGCGAUGGAAACUGGGUUUCUUGAGUGCAGGAGAGGAAAGGGGAAUUCCCAGUGUAGCGGUGAAAUGCGUAGAUAUUGGGAGGAACACCAGUGGCGAAGGCGGCUUUCUGGACGGUGUCUGACACUGAGGCGCGAAAGCCAGGGGAGCGAACGGGAUUAGAUACCCUUGUAGUCC